rnacentral:lncRNA from 10 species
GGCGUUGAGAUGGUUCAGGGCCCUGUUCAAACUCCAGCACUGACCAUUCACCGGCGGAAGCGGCCCGCUCCUGCCCCCCCAACCGGGCUUCCUAUUUACCGAAAGCAGAGUCCCUCGCCUCUCUCGGCUCUCACCUGCCGGCCCUGCUCUCCCGCGCGAGGGUUCCGCGCCCGCCCGCGGGCCGUAGGGAGCGGGAGAGGCGGAGGCGGCCCGUGGCCAAAGCACCCGCCAGGCUCCGAGAGAAUAUGAAACUGGUGUCAAAAUGACAUCCAGAUUUGGGAAAACAUACAGUAGGAAAGGUGGAAAUGGCAGUUCAAAAUUCGAUGAAGUCUUUUCCAACAAACGGACUACCCUUAGCACAAA